rnacentral:rRNA from 1 species
AUUGAACGCUGGCGGCAUGCCUUACACAUGCAAGUCGAACGGCAGCACGGGGGCAACCCUGGUGGCGAGUGGCGAACGGGUGAGUAAUACAUCGGAACGUGUCCUGGAGUGGGGGAUAGCCCGGCGAAAGCCGGAUUAAUACCGCAUACGCUCUAUGGAGGAAAGCGGGGGAUCUUCGGACCUCGCGCUCAAGGGGCGGCCGAUGGCGGAUUAGCUAGUUGGUAGGGUAAAGGCCUACCAAGGCGACGAUCCGUAGCUGGUNUGAGAGGACGACCAGCCACACUGGGACUGAGACACGGCCCAGACUCCUACGGGAGGCAGCAGUGGGGAAUUUUGGACAAUGGGGGCAACCCUGAUCCAGCAAUGCCGCGUGUGUGAAGAAGGCCUUCGGGUUGUAAAGCACUUUUGUCCGGAAAGAAAUCCUCUGGGUUAAUACCUCGGGGGGAUGACGGUACCGGAAGAAU